rnacentral:rRNA from 1 species
CGGAGGGGGCUAGCGUUGUUCGGAAUUACUGGGCGUAAAGCGCACGUAGGCGGCUUUGUAAGUUAGAGGUGAAAGCCCGGGGCUCAACUCCGGAAUUGCCUUUAAGACUGCAUCGCUAGAAUUGUGGAGAGGUAAGUGGAAUUCCGAGUGUAGAGGUGAAAUUUGUAGAUAUUCGGAAGAACACCAGUGGCGAAGGCGACUUACUGGACACAUAUUGACGCUGAGGUGCGAAAGCGUGGGGAGCAUACAGG